rnacentral:tRNA from 1 species
GGUUUGUAGCACAGUGGUAGAGCACUUGCCUAGCAUGUGUGAGGCACUGGGUUCAAUCCUCAGCACCA